UGCUUUCACAUCUUUCCUUUGCUGAAGUCUGCUGAAUAAAUCAAACAAAUAUGUCGUGAGGUGUGAGUUUUUCUUACAUGAUGCCUGCUGUACAUACCCCCCAGUCAUUCCUCUUUAGAGAAAUUGCUGAAAUGUCAUGUUUGCCAAUGAGAGGCAGACAGAAAUCUGAGUGCCAGCUAAAAAUUCCGGAACAAUAUUGUCAUUCUAAAAGCCAAGCAUAUUGUUCUAUUGCAAAAGUUCUAGUCCAAAGUAAGGACAAUUUUUCCCAAGUGAUUGAGUGGAGCAGCAAAUGCCUGUGAAAAUAGUAGAUAUAAAAAUAUCAGCAAGAGCCAAAAUUACAAGACUGUUUCUGAAAAUAUUCCGAAAGAAUGUUUAGAAAACAUCUUUUUCCAGGUAGACAGAGAGUUUGUGAGGCUGCAUCAUUGGCAUCAUUUUAUCAUCACCAUCCCGCUCAGGAGCUCAAGAAGAGGGGAACUGAGUCAGUUAGAAUUACAGAGGGUGAUAAUAAUUUCAGUUGGAGCCUCACUGGUAACCUUGCUCAGCCACACGACUGGAAUGUAAGAGGCUGGGGCAUUUUGGACAGCACAGAUGUUAAACGUGAACACUACCUUCUCAGUAGCACAAAUCUGACUACAUCUUUAAGUCUCCAAGAGGAACAUGAGGACAUGAGCAAUAGAGGAAACCUGGAGGAAGAGGGUGUGGCAUGUUGAAAUUUAAAAAGAAGCAAUGUGUAUUUGCAAGUCAAACCAAUAUAAUAAAACCAGUGGUUAUUUUUUAAUGUUUUCAAUCAUUGGAAUAUACAUGAAUUUUCACAAUAAAGUGUG
rnacentral:lncRNA from 1 species